CCUACGGGAGGCAGCAGUGAGGAAUAUUGGUCAAUGGGCGGGAGCCUGAACCAGCCAAGUCGCGUGAGGGAAGACGGUCCUAUGGAUUGUAAACCUCUUUAGGCGGGGAGCAAUGCCGGGCACGUGUGCCCGGAGGGAGCGUACCCGCAGAAUAAGCAUCGGCUAACUCCGUGCCAGCAGCAGCGGUAAUACGGAGGAUUCGAGCUGUAUCCGUAUUUAUUGGGUUUAAAGGGUGCGUAGGCGGAGUUUUAAGUCAGCGGUAAACUGUCCGGGCUCAACCCGGGCCGGCCGUUGAAACUGGGGAUGUUGAGUGGGAGAGAAGGAUGCGGAAUGCGUGGUGUAGCGGUGAAAGGCAUAGAUAUCACGCAGAACUCCGAUUGCGAAGGCAGCAUACCGGCGCCCGACUGACGCUGAGGCACGAAAGCGUGGGGAUCGAACAGGAUUAGAUACCCUGGUAGUC
rnacentral:rRNA from 1 species